GUAUUGCUAUUCUUUCUUCUCAACGCUCGAGAACUUUUGUUUCAACCACUUUACCAUUUGAAAGCUUAGCACCUGCUUCAUUAACAUGCAAACCAUGUAAGCACUGGUGGU